rnacentral:rRNA from 1 species
GCGCACGGGUGAGUAACACGUGAAUCAUCUACCUUCGAGUGGGGAAUAACUGGGAGAAAUCCUGGCUAAUACCGCAUAAUACCUACGGGUCAAAGCAGCAAUGCGCUUGAAGAGGAGUUCGCGGCAGAUUAGUUAGUUGGCGGGGUAAUGGCCCACCAAGACGAUGAUCUGUAUCCGGCCUGAGAGGGCGCACGGACACACUGGAACUGAAACACGGUCCAGACUCCUACGGGAGGCAGCAGUGGGGAAUUUUGCGCAAUGGGGGAAACCCUGACGCAGCAACGCCGCGUGGAGGAUGAAAUCCCUUGGGAUGUAAACUCCUUUCGAUAGGGAAGAUAAUGACGGUACCUAUAGAAGAAGCCCCGGCUAACUUCGUGCCAGCAGCCGCGGUAAUACGAGGGGGGCAAGCGUUGUUCGGAAUUAUUGGGCGUAAAGGGUGCGUAGGCGGUUUGACAAGUCUUAUGUGAAAUCUAUGGGCUCAACCCAUAGUCUGCAUGGGAAACUGUCGGGCUUGAGUAUGGGAGAGGUGAGUGGAAUUUCCGGGUGUAGCGGUGAAAU